AUGUACAAACUUCAGUUGGUGUCAAACAUCCGUAUUGAAUUACCCGAAUUUUCCAAAUCCUAAAUUAUCAGUAUAAUUUGGAGAUGAGUCAAAAUUUACUAAAUUUCACCGUGGUGUUGUCCCUUAUGCUGAUCGCCAUGUCUCACGCGUCUUUGGGAGUUCGUCGUGUCGAGUUUCUCCAUUCCGGUGGGUGACACCUAGGGAUGUUCCCAGGCCCAAGUCAAUUUUACUACCUGCAUUUAAAUAAAUACGAAAACACAAGGAGCAUCGUCAUUAAGAAUAUGAAACCUACAUUAGUGUUCUACGAGGAUGAUAAAGAAAUCGGGCGGGAGAAAAUCUGGUGGAGAAACCAGGUAGAAGAGAUUCACGAGUUGUUCAAGCAGUACGAAAUUAAGCUGAAGGAAGUGAAACCAGCGCCGAGUGCUGCUGAGACUCAGUCACCAAAGGAAGAUUUGUAGCAUAAUUAUUGCUGCUGCAAAUUUGACCUUAUUUCGUUUAAUUUAUGAUGUCAGUGGCGCAAACCCAUCAAGCGGUGGCCGCUGAUUGACGCCUUCAAACGGAAUAGUUCAAAUUUUCAAGCAAUAUUGUAUUUGUUAAAUACAAAAAAUAAAAUCCUGCCCGUCCACUAUCUAA